rnacentral:lncRNA from 1 species
GGAGGAGGAGCAGCAUCAGAUCUAGUUCGAGCAACGUUUGAGAUUACUCGUGAAGAUUUCAAAAAGUUAAGGGAAAGGGUGUUACCUAAACUACCAGAUAGUGGGAAAGAAAUGCAUCUAUCAACUUUUGUGCUUUCGUUUGCUUAUGUAACAACUUGCAUGGUGAAAGCUAGAGGAGGAGAUGGAGAUAGAAAAGUUGCUUUCGCAUUCACAGCUGAUUGCAGGCCACGAUUAAACCCUCCUGUCUCACAAAACUAUUUCGGAAACUGUAAUAGACCUAAAUUUGAAGUGGCGAAAGCAAGGGAUUUCCUUGAUGAAAACGGGUUUGUGUUUGCUGUUCAGAAAGCAAGUGGAAUGGUUAAAGAUUUAAUGGAGAGAUGGGUUCUUGAAGGAAUGGAAAAGAUUCUAUCAUAUAGUUUAGAUGUUCUUAAAGAAUCAUCUGAGUCAAACCUUCAAAUUAUAACUGUUGCAGGAUCGCCUCGAUUUGGUGUUUAUGGAACAGAUUUUGGAUGGGGCAAACCCCAUAAGGUGGUAAUUGUUUCCAUUGAUAAGAGUGGAGCUAUUUCCAUGGCAGAAAGUAGAGAUGGGAGCGGGGGGGUUGAAAUUGGUUUGGCUUUGAAUAAGCACGAGAUGAACAAUAUUUCUUGGUUGUUUCCAAGAUACGUUUAACGGGAGGGUUUAUUUUAAUUUAUUUUGUUGUUUUGUAAUGAUAUUUUAUUAAUAUUAUAUGAAAAUCAUGCUUCAUAUUAUGCUAUUUUUCAUUUAAGCAGAGGUUGAUUGCUCCACUUUAUGCUAUUUAAGCAGAAAGAAAACAUGUGGAGGUAGGGGUGUUUAAAAUUCGGGUAAAACUGAAAAAAUUCGGUUAAUCGACUGAAUUUGGUUAAUCGAUCGGUUAAUCGAAUUUUUUCGGUUGGGGUCAGUUAAUUAUUUUUUAAUUUUUCGAUUAACGGUUAAUUUGGUUCGAAACCUGUCAGUUAACCAAAUUUUUUCGGUUUAAUCGAAAAAAUUAAUAAAUAAAAUUAUAAUAUAUAAGUAGAUCCACUAUUCACCUAAACCCAAUCCAAACCCAAGUAUUCAACCCAACCCAAUUAUCCAACCCAACCCAAUUAUAAAAAUUACAAAUAAUUUAAUAAAUAAAAAUAAAAUUCUAAAACUAAAACUAAAACUAAAGUCUAAAAGUCUAAAAAUAAUUUAAUUAUGUAGUGAUUCAAUUCGGUUAAUUCGGUUAAUUCGGGUAAUCCGGUUAAUUCGGUUAAUUCGGGUAAUUCGGUUAAUUUUUAACCAAAAAUAAAAAAUAUAUAAUUUUCGGUUAAUUCGGUUAACCGACCGAAUUAACCGAAAAAAUUUAGGUUCGGUUAACAGUUAAAAAUUUUGAAAGGUUGGUUAAUUCGGUUAAUGUUAUUUUGGGUCGGUUAACCGAAUGAACACCCCUAUGUGGAGGUGGUUGAUUGCUUACCCCACUUUUAUCUAUUUGUCCAAAUAAUGCUUUAUUUGAUAUAUAUGUUAAGGAAAUUCCGAAAAACACUGAUGACUGAGAAGGGCCUUUAUUGGUUUCCACAAAAGCAUCGUACCAGCAUUAAUUAAGUGAUGGAGCCAUGUUAGCUGUAGGGGUGAAUUACCCAUAAAUGCCGGUAUGUUUGGAAAAUUACCUAAUUAGAUUAGUUUUCCUAAAAUUUAUCGGAUUAGGCCAAAUUUGGAGAGAGAGAACAAAAACGAGUGUUUUCCAUAAUGCCUACCCCGCACCCCAGCGGUCAAAUUAUAAUGGCUCCCCCCCCAACGACUAUUUCAACGAAAUUUUAACCCUCCGUCUUUAAUUGGACCAUACUUGAGAGAUGCGAGAUUUUUGCAUAUGGUCCCGUAUAGGUAGAGGGUGUCAAUUAGACCCCACACUUAUAAGCGCGUUGGUGAAAAGAUGGAGACCCGAGAUGCACACAUUCCAUCUUACUAUCACACUCGAGGAUGUGCAGUUACAGCUUGGGUUACAGGUGGAUGGCAGUUGUCGCAGCUAAUUAGAGAGAUGUCUGCGAGCAACUUUAUUGGUUUCCACAAAAGCAUCGUACAAGCAUUAAUUAAGUGAUGGAGCCAUGUUAGCUGCAGGGGUGAAUUACCCAUAAAUGCCGGUAUGUUUGGAAAAUUACCUAAUUAGAUUAGUUUUUCUAAAAUUUAUCGGAUUAGGCCAAAUUUGGAGAGAGAGAACAAAAACGAGUGUUUUCCAUAAUGCCUACCCCGCACCCCAGCGGUUAAAUUAUAAUGGCUCCCCCCCAACGACUAUUUCAAUAAAAUUUUAACCCUCUGUCUUUAAUCGGACCAUACUUGAGAGAUGCAAGAUUUUUUCAUAUGGCCCGUAUAGGUAGAGGGUGUAAAUUAGACCCCACACUUAUAAGCGCGUUGGUGAAAAGAUGGAGACCCGAGAUGCACACAUUCCAUCUUACUAUCACACUCGAGGAUGUGCAGUUACAGCUUGGGUUACAGGUGGAUGGCAGUUGUCGCAGCUAAUUAGAGAGAUGUCUGCGAGCAACUUUUGGAGAGGGUUUCGGACUCGAUUUAUGGAGCUUGGAUAGAUGUGAAUUGGAUGAAAAGAAAUUUUGUUGGGCUCAAUGCAAAGUCGAGUAAAGUUGAAAGAGUGUCAUAUUGAAGUUUGGUUUGGUAAAUUUUGAUGUUUGGCUAGUUAAUUAAGGAAACAAGACUAAAUCGUAAAAGAUGUAAAACUUAAUCUCUAUUGAUUGCUAUUAGCUAAAUGCGUGUUUAAUGUUUGUUUAAGGAUCUAAAUGGUAAUUAUACCCUUUUUAAGGUUAUUGGACGGUUAGUGGAGGAAAUUGAAUUAAAUAUAUGUGUUUUAUAAUAUUAAUUUCUUUAGUUUGAAGCUUGAUGAUGAAAUAGGACUAUUUUGUAAAGUGAUUUUGGAUAGUUUUUAAGUUUAGGAGCUAAAACAAUAAAAUAUUAAAUUUAGCAUGAAAUUCUUGUAAACUUUCAUUAAUUAUAGGUUGUAAAAGAGUAAAGAUGAAUUAGGCCUAAGGGUUUUGGGCUUAAUUUUGCAAAAAAAAAUUAAGUUUCAAUUUAGGGACUAAAGUGAAUAAAAGGUAAAAGUUCAGGGAAAAUUGCUAAGUAGUCCUCGGUGUGGUGUUAUAAUGAUGGAGAUAGUAUGAGAAUUGAGUUAAGGCCCGUGUGAGCUUAGUGAAUGAUUAAGAUACAAAUGACAUGUCAUUAGGAUUUAUCAAGCACUAUGUGCCAGUGAUUAUAUUGAUCAGGUACUAUGUAUCAGUGACCAUAUUAUUAGGUAUUGUGUAACAGCCCGGUUUAGACCCUAGUCGGACAGUGGUUUCAAGACCACAAAUUUGAGUUAGAAAUAUAUUUUAAUAUUAUUUUUGGUGUCUACAGCAUGUUAAUUUAUAUGUGUGAAAAUUUUGUGUGAAAAUUUUAUCGUUUGUAUGCUCAAUUUUAUAAAAAAAACUUAAUCGCGUAAAUUGUAAAAGUGGCAUUCUAAUUGUUAAAGUGCUUAAUUGCUUUGAGUAAUUAAUUAUGGAGUCCUUAAAAUGAAAUUUAGCCAUUGAAUACAUGAAUGGACGGUAAUGGCAUGCAUUAUAUGAUUUUAUUAUUAAAUCAUUAAGGUUAUAUUGGUAAAUGGAUAAUCAAAUGUAAUUAAAAUAAAACAAAAUAGGAAAUGGCCAUGCAUGUUCAUCUUUUGGCCAAAUAUUGAAGAGAAAAAGAACCAUUUGAAAGCUUUAAAGAUUCGGCACUUUGAAGCUUAAAUUGAGGUAUGGAUUUUGUUUGGUUUUCGAUAAUUUUUACUUUUUUGAGAUCGUUGCUUUGUAUAUUACCUAGCCCAUGCUUUAAUUUUCAAAAUUGAUGAUGAAUUUGAGAUUUUCCAUUGUUGAUAAUGUGAUGAAUUUGUUGUUUGAUGAUAAAAAAUAAAUCUUUAAUGUUUGAUUAUCAUGUCUAAUUAAGUGAUUCUUUGAUAAAAAUCCAAAUUAGGGAUUUAUUUGUGAAAUUUGAAAAUUUAGGGGUUUAAAUAUGAAAUAAAUGAAAUAUAUGAGCUGAUAGGGACCAUAGGAAGAUUCGGCUAAGGCAUGGUUUUGAUGAAUUUUGUGUAUUUAGUGUAUUUUUGUAUUAAUGACUAAAAUGUUAAAAAUGUGAAAUUUGGGGGCUAAAGUGUAAAUGCCCUAUUUAGGUGUUUAUGGAUUGAAUUAAAUGAGAUGUGUUAUUAAAUAGCCAAAUUUGAAUUUAUUUAGAUCAAGAAAAGAGAAAGUCGGAUUUGGAUCGAGGAAAAUCGAAGGUUGUCGAAUAGUCGUUUCGAUCCGUUCCUGUCCGUACGACGUAAGUUUGUAAGUAAAUAAAUGUAGUUAAAUUUGAAUGUAUAUGUGUUAUAAAUGCCGAAUUGAAUUUUAAUGAAUAUAUAUGUACAUGCCAAAUUAUUUUUAAGUAUGGGAGAAUUGUUUACGAGCUUAAUUCAAUUGAAUUACGGCAUCCGAAAGCGUGUACGAACCAUAGGAUUCCGAUAUGUGAUAUCGUGUAAGACCACGUCUGGGACGUUGACAUCGAUUUGAUAUUUACGUGUAAGACCAUGUCUGGGACAUUGGCAUCAUAUAUAAUUUCGUGUAAGACCCUGUCUGGGACAGUGGCAUCGUUAUUUGAUUACAUGUAAGACCACGUUUAGGACGUUGGCAUUGUACAAGCUUUUUGAGCUAUCCGAGUAUUCUUUUUUAUUCCAAAUGGUUUAACGGGAAAUGAUACAACAAAAUCGAAUGUGAGUUUGAAUUAAACGAUCCAGAUGUGUUUGAGUUAUAUGAAGUGUGGAAGUAUAGGUAAGUAUUGUGGUAUAACAUGAAAAUGUGAGCUAAUUGCUUAAAUAUGAUUAUAUAUAUGUGUGUUCAAGAUUGGGAGUAUUCGACCUACUUGUAUGAAUUAUAAAUGUUCUUUGGUAAACUAUUUGCUUAUGACUUACUAAGCUAUUUAAGCUUACUGUGUGAUUGCUCGUUCGUUGUUUUAUAGAUUUUGGAAGCUAGUUACGAGCUUGGGGAUUGUCAAAGAAAUCCCUCACACUAUCGAACGAUAUUUUUGUAUUUUUAAAACUUGAAUUAUGAACUUAUGGCAUGUAUAGGCUAGCAUUUGUUUUGAUUGGCCUUGAAUUUUGUAUAUGUGUUUGGCCAUGUGAAAAUGGCUUGAUUAUAAUAUUAUGGCUUGUGUGUAUGUGGUAUGACUUAUACUUAUUUUGGAGGUAUGUUUUAUGUUUUACAUGCUUGAAGGGUUUGGUUUUAUGAUUCGACAAUGAGUAAUAAAAAGUAUGAUGAACAAUCGACCAACAAAUUAGCUCAUAUGGAAAUGUGUUUUUUGGUAUAACUUGUGUAGUAGAUGGAUGUGUAUUUGAAUCGUGGUGCAUGUAUCUAUAAGCUAUGUGAUGACUUUGCUAUAAAACGAUAAAUUGGUAUUUGGUGUGGCUUAUUAUUGACUUAUUUUGGAUGUACAAUUUGUUUAAUGAAUUGGCUUGAAGGUGGUAAAUGAUGUGUAUGCAUUUUCGGUCUUAUAUGUAGCAUAUUUAAGAAGUAUGAUAUGUGGUUAUUUUGUGUGUUAUAUGAUGGCAUGAUUCAAAAUGAAUAAAUAGGUAAGAAGACAGAAAGAUGAGUAUAUCAUUGAUGGUGUAAUGGUUAUUCGGCUGCAAUUUGAAAUGGUAAUUAACUACAUGUUUUAAAAUGGUUUGGUUUGAUCAUUUGAGGCUAAAUUUAAUGACCGAAUAUAGGGAUAAUUGAUUUGUUGUGUUUAUGUGUUGGGGCAUGAUAAUUAGCAUGCAAAUUGGUGUACUUAAAAUUGUUGCUUAUGUUUAAAAAUUGUUUAACGUGACUAUGGUAUAAUGCACAUAGGUUGGUAAUGUUUACAAAUGUAUUUGGCUGUAUAGUGAAGCUUGCCUAUGUUUUUUUUUAUUAUUUAUAUGCCUAAUAAGGUGUGUGAAAAGCUUAACCUAAGUAAAUGUGCGCAUAUGCAUAACAUACAAAUUGCUAUUUUUUUAUAAAUUAGUUAAUGAAUUGGGUUAGCCAUGAUUUGGUAUUUGAAUUUAGAAAUGGCUUCGUUUUAGAGUGUUAUGCGCAUGUAUAUAUGUCUUAUAAAAUGAUAUAUUUGAUGAUUAGUUAAAGAUAUGGAUUGUUAUGACUUAGUAUGCAUAUGUGCAUAGUUUAUAAAAUAGCAUGGCUAGAAGUUUGCUAAUGAAAUAAAUAUAUGCAACAGAUGAUUUGACAUAAGCUUAGUAAAUAUGAUGUAAUGAUAUAAGCUUGAAUAUAUUAUAAAUAUUUGAAUGGUAUGAAUAUGAUAGUAAAUAGGUUCGAAUAAUGGGUUUGUAAAGCAUGCAAUAUUUUAUUGAUGUAUGAUAGCUUGGUACAAAUUUUAAAAAGGUUAAGAGUAUUGAUUGAUUGAAUUUUAGAGUGCCAUGAUCUUGGGUCAUAAGGUUCGGCUAUUGGAGUUAUAUAGUAUAUGUAUUAUGAUAUGAUGUAUAUUAAUUGGGUCGAAUAGGUGAUUAAAUAAAUACUAUUGAUAUGUUUAAAUUUUAAAGCAUAAAUUGCUUAUGUAUUAAAAGUAGUAAAGCAUAAUUGGUUUUUAGUUGGUUAAGUGAUCUAUAUGUGCGAAUGUGAAUUAUAUGAUUUAGCUGCUAGUUAUUAUUCGAGUUUAAAAAUUUUCGGAUUGAGUUAAUAUAAUUUGUGCAUAAGUUAAAAUGAAAGACUGUUCUGAGUUGUGUUUUGGUCGGUAAUGCCUCGGGACCCUAAUCCAGCAACGGAUACAGGCUAGGAGUGUUACACUUUGUACCGGUGUUAUAUUUAUGGUUCAUGUGCAUACCAUGUUAAUAGAUAGUAUGGAAUGAUGUACUAACCUAUUUGGUUAUGUUGUGAAAGAUAUAAGGUGAUUAUGGAACGAUAAGUAUGUAUGUUAUUUGCAUUAAGUAAAUUAUGAAAUGCCAGGUACGUUGUGCUUAAAUUUUAUACGAACUUACUAAGCUUUAAGUAAGCUUAACUUGUUUCAUUUUCUUCCUUGUAGAUUGUCAGAUUCGUGUUAUCAAUUGGAUCAUCUUUGGAGAAUCACACUAUCUGUCAACUCUUUUGGUAGAUUUUUAUCCAUUUUGGAAUAGGUUAUAAAUGGCAUGUAAAUAGGUGUUUUGGUUUCAAAUGUACAUAUAUGCAAGUUGUGGGUUGAAAUAGUACAUGAAUGUUAAACUGGAAUUUUGGCUAAGUUGGUAGCUUUAUGGAUAUGAAAGUCUAUUUAUAUGAAAUUCUUUGAUCUUGCUCCAUAGGUUAUAAGGUACUAUGGAAUGGAUAGGUAUGGCAUGUAAAUACAUUAGAUGUUAUAUGUUUGAGCUCUUAUAUAACACUUUAUGUGAAGUAGAUUUUAAAUUGGUUAAGUUAGGUUAUGUGGUCCAUAAGGUAAGGUUAUGGCAAGUGUUUAUAAAUCUAUGUUUUGGUAUUUAAAAUGAUGAUUAUGUGAGAAUGUUUAGGUAUGUGAUUUUUGGUAUGAAUGAUGAUGAAUGUGUGAUUGUAAAUGGUUCAAUUGAGGUGCCAAGUGUGGCAUAUUGGUUAGGCACUUAGGAUGGAUGUUUUAAGGUGUGGUUUUGGAAUAUAUUUUUAUGUUUUUGAUCAGAUUGAUUAAUGGUUAAAUGCUUACUUGUGGCUUAAGUGAACCUAGGAUGUUGUUACUUGGUUUAGAAGGUAUUUUAGGUGCACACAGUCUAAUACACAGUCUGCCACAGGAUAGUGUGCCAUACAUGGGCAUAUGGCAUGGCUAUGUGGUCUAUUUAAUUUAGGUGCUAAUUGGUCCACACAGCUACAGUUUGUUACACGGCCUGGCAACACAGCCAUGUGACCCAGUCUUACAUGGCUUUAGUUUGUUUCACGGCUUAGACAUACAACCAUGUCUUCUAGCAUCAUAGGGCAUCAGCCUGUCACAUGGCCUGGCCACCCUACAGUGUGACCCAUGUUUUUACUUUUUACUUAUUAUUUCAUAAAAGUUUCAAAUUAGUCAUGAUUUGUUUUCGAGUUGGUUUAAAAGCUUCGUAAGCUCAAUUAAGGCUCGGUUGUGGUUGUAAAUCAUAUUACAAUGAUGCGGUUGAAUGCUUGAUGUUUUAAUUUGAUAUUUAAGUUGAAUUCUUGGAUGAUAGAUGUUGUUAACUGUUGUAACAUCUUGUAGCUCGGGUCCAAAAAUCGAACCAGGUUAGGUGUGUUACAUUACAAGUUUAUUAAAGUUCAAUGGUUAAUACUAUGUCGUGCUACUGGACGUGUCCGACAAUUUUCUAAACUUCACCAUUGACUUCAACCAUCGUUCACGACCAUCGUUGCCCUUCCAAUUGAUUCCACUUCUUCUGGGAUCUCGCCAUUUAUCACAUUUCUUCGUAGUUUGGUUUCUUACACGAACACAACUGAAGAGAUAUCCUCGAUUGAGGCUGUUAUAGGUUAAAUUGAAUAAGGCAUAACAUUCCUCCCCUAUUGAUUCCUCAUUUUGGGAAUUGAGGUUGCAUUUGAAAGCUUCUAUUUUGUCAUCGAUUUUUAUAAUAACCUCAUUUUGCUCGAGAUCGAUAGUCGAUUUAAAAGUGGCAAAAAAUGGCCUACCCAAUAGAAUGGGGAUUUCCUAAUUUUCCCUAAAGUUAAGGACUACAAAGUCUAAGUUCAUGUAAUAGCCCGAAUUUGGGCCUAGUCGAAACAGUGGUUUCGGGACCACAAAUGUAAUAUUUUGAAAAUUUCUACAGUAAUAUAUUAUCCUUGGUAUAGUAAAAUAAGGAAAUAAAGUAACAAAAAGGGAAAUUUUGAGUUAUGUCAACAUUGAGAAGUAUAUUAUGACAUAUUAAUGCAAGGAAGGAUUAAAUCGCAAAAGUGACAAAAGUAUUGUUGCAUAAGAGUAAAUACUCAAAAUUUGAGGGGUUAAAGUGUAAAUAUGAAAAAGUUGAAGGACCAAAGGUGUAAAUAUUUUAAGGGUGGAAUGAUCUAGAAACUAAGGAAAAUGGAUGAAUUAGGACCAAAUUGAAUAAGAUAAGAAUUAUGAGGGACUAAAUCGUAAUUUUACCAAAUUAAGUGUGACUCAAUGAUGGAAUUUUAAAAGAUUAUGAAGGGCAAAAUGGUCAAUUAGAAGAGAGAGAAAUCUAGAAGGCGAUGAUGAUGUUGGUGAUAUUUUAGAUUAAUUAAUUAAAUAAAUAUUAGUUUGUUAAUAUUUUAAUAUGAUUUUUAAAUGAUAUUUUAUUAAUUUCUUAUUAUUCUAUUUAGUAUAUAUAAGAAAGGAAAGAUGAGGAAUUAUCAUCUUCUUCCCCAUGCAACCAACGUAUGAAGAGGAAAGAAAGAAAGAAACUUUCUUUUCUUUACAAUUUGGUUCUUUUAUAAAAAAUUCACCAUUUUCACUUAGAAAUCAAAAGAAUUUCCAUAUCCAUCAAGAGAGAAAUAUAACAAGGAGACUAUGGUGAGCUAGAAUAUCAAGUUAGAUUCAAGAAAUAGAAGCUGGAGGAGAGAGAAAAUCAAGUUAAAGAUUGAAAUGGUAAGAACAUCAAGAUUUCAAUAUAUUUUUGAGUUUGAUAUUAUUGAAAAGGUAUGAAAUUGAUGUUAAUGUAGAGUUUAUUAUAUAAGGGUUUAUGUUAUUGGUAUGUUAGUGAAGAGAAAAUAAGAGAAAGUGAUGAGAAAUAAUGUAGAGAAAGAAAAUAAGAGUGUUAUAAACUUAGUAAUCAAUAUUUUACACUAAAACAGUUUGGACAGCAGCAGUAGGUUAACUUUGAAAAAUCACCAAAAAUUGUGGGAAUUUAAUUAGAAGAUGAAUAAAAUAUGAAAUUAAAUCUUAUUGAGUCUAGUUUCUCAUAGAAGAAACGGUGUAAGUAAUAGAAUUGUAAAUCAUGAGAUAUAAUAAAUUUUGUGAGACAAUGUCAGAAUGAUUUCGGGUUCCCCUGUUCUGACUUUGGAAAAUCAUCAAAAAUUGAAGAAAAAUAAUUAUGAGUUAUAAUUUAUAUGAUUAGAAUACUUAAUGAAUACAUUUUCAAAUUAAAUAAACGAAACAUCAUCCAAAUUCUGUACAAUUAGAUAAUUCAUUUUUAGUGAAGAGUGGUCGGAACUGUCAGACAGCAAAAUAGGGGAAACUUUAAAAAAUAAACUGUACUAUUUGGCUGAACCAAAAAUUCUGAAAAUUUUAUGGCAAGAAUAUAUGUGAGUCUAGUUUCAGGGAAAAUUAACGGAUCUUAAUUUGGAUUUCUGUAGCUCAAGAUAUAAAUGAUUUAGUGACUAUGACUCAAAUGGACAGCUUUGAAUAAAUUUACAAGAAAAUAGUGAAAUUAUAGAUAAUGUUACUUAUAAGCAUGUUAUGUAAAUUAAGGAUGUGGAAUGGAGAGGAGGAGGAGGAAAAUAAAUUUAUGAAUAUUAUGCUAGCAUGGAUUUUCAUUUCAAAUGGUUAAUUUGCAUGAUUUGGGCUCGAGGACUAAAUUGAAUAAAAGUAAAACUUUAGGGGCAAUUUUGGAAAAAUGUCAAAAAUGGCCAAAUUGCAUGAAAUGAAUUGUUUUAUUAUUUAAAUUACUAAAUUGAAUGAAAUAUUAAUUUAGAUCAAUAUUGGGUGGAAAUUCGAGAAAAAUAGAAAUUUUUCAAAAUGUCCCCGAAUUUUGGUAUUUCUGCAAUUUAGCCUGGUAAGUUCGUAUGAACUAUAUUUUGUAUAAUUUUAAUUGAAUUGAAUGCUAUUUGGUAAUGAAUAUUAUAUAUAUGUGUGUUUGGAAUUGAAUUAUUAUUGGAUGUUUUGAAAUGAUUAUCGAAAGCUCAAUUGGGUUGGAGAUAUAUCACAUUAUCCAUUGGUUCUAUCGGAAAUUUUGGAUGAUUUGAUUCUGGUUAUUGUAUAAGUUAAAUUGGUUAAUGUUAGCUCAUAAAUGUUUUGAUUUUGAUUGGUUAUAAAUAUGAAUGCUUGAUGAAAUAAAAUGUCUGAAAAUUAUUUGUAAACUCUGGUAAUGCUCUAUAACCCUAUUCUGGGGAAGGAUACGCAUUAGGGGUGUUACAGUUUAAAUACUUAAGGAACCGAAAGCUAAUGUGUUGGGUAUAUGACUUCUACAAUAUGUAGCAUAAUUUACAAUAGUAGAAUUCAUAGCCCAACUAAAUAGGUAAGUGAUAUCCUCUCACAGACAUGACAUGAUAGAUGAAAAGUAAAAGUUAUCACGGGUUGUUUAUCUUUGUGAUAAAGGACUUUAUUACUAUUUGAUAGUAAUUGACUUUUCAUGAAGGAACAUGUAAUGGUUACAAUGAGAUAAAAUAAGAUCAUAUUGGGAGAACAGAUUUAUCCCAAUGAGAUUAAGGAUAUCCUAUGAGGGUAACACACUUAUGACAAGGUCAUUGAACGAACACUGAUUAAGUAGCUUUCGUAAUGGUAAGUAAUUAGGGCUAGCCCAGUCACGAUACUAUAGUGGAACGACUUCGUGAUUAAAUGAGUUUAUAAUUAAUAGGCGAAAAGCUGAAAUUUAAUUAUAAAUCAUUUGAGCAUUAAUUCAUAUGUCCAAUCGGUCCAUCUGCAAGCUUGUUGAAACUGAAAAUGAAUUGUAUGUAGAAUCAAAUAAAUAGAAAUGGAUGAAAAUGAUAAAGAUAAAGAAAUGAGUUAUAUUCGCAAAUGAUAAAUUUUCCCCUCAUAUUAUUAUACUAGUAACCAAGUGAGGCAUAAAUGUUAUAUUGAUCAGUUCAAAAGUUUUUCAAACUCGUACUUUUGUAUAGACUAAAUUUCUUUCUCACAUGUGAAUAAACACAUUUAUUUUGUUUAUAAUAAUAAUUCAUAAUAAGUACAAAAUAUAUUUAGAUUAAAUAUGAAAAUUAUUUAUAUUAAAUUAAUAAACAGAUUUAAUAAUAGUUAAAAAUAGGCUUUUUUACAAAAAAAUAAUUAAUUACAAAAAUAAAUUGAAGGAAAAACUAUUUAUGAAAUUGAGAUUUUAUUUUUAUCAACUUUUUGUUUUGGUAACAAAUUUUUUUUUUUCAAAAGGGUUCUAAUGGCACUCAUUUAAAUUUUUUUCAUUUUUUUCUCCCAUCAUAUAUACACGUGAAAAUAUAAGUAUUUUAAAAAGUAGACAUUGAUGUUACCUGACGCAAUGGUAAGAUCAAUAAAAAUUUCAUCUUUUGUCCGAAAAGUUGGAUGGUGCCGCCAAAAUUAAGCCAAAUUUACUUUGUUUAUAUUGAAUAAAACGUGUUAUAUAGUGUGUGGAGCCCGUAGCCUUCACGGUUUGGAAAAUACGGAGAAAGUUUCGUGCUGGAUUCAUCCCCCUCAAACUAGAAGCGUCAUUCAUUCAUUCUUAUCCGCCCAACUUUUAUCCCUUGUGUUGUGACACAAUGUUUUUAAAAAAAAAAUAGAAAAUAUCUUAACCUUUUAUUUUAUAUUAUUUUUCAAAUCACUUAAAAUAAUACAAAAAUUAAUAAUUAACUUUACUAUGUGACAUAUAUGUGAAUUAUAACAUUAAUAAUUAAUUAAUUUUUUAAAAUUAUAAAAAAUACUUUAAAAAUUUUUAUUUUUUAAAAAUUAAUAAAAAGUUAAUACAACAUAUACAUGUCAAUCUACGUGUAUUCCACAUCAUUGUAAUUAAUAAAUAUUAACCAACUAUUAAGCCAAAUUUUACAAAUUUUUUUAUAAUUUUAUAAUAAUUUAUUAAUUAAAACCGUAUUUAUAAUUGAAAUGAGGAACCAAAAUUCCACCACAAUACUUCUCUUGACCCUAAACGAAUACUCGAACAAUCAUGACCACACUUACAGGAUUACAACGAAACAGAAUGGAAAUUCUUGAGGUGACCGAAGUUGCCCCAAUCUCUAACUCACCAGAAUCAAAGACUAAAUUCCGUCUUCCACUCACUUUCUCCGACAUAUUCUGGUUCAAGCUUCCUCCUGUUGAGCGCCUCUUCUUUUACCAACUCGACGACUUAACCCCUGCCUGUUUCAACUCAGUUAUCCUCCCAAAACUCAAGCGCUCUCUUUCUCUCACACUCGUCCAUUACCUCCCCCUCGCUGGCAAUCUCAAGUGGCCACCAAUCGAACCUAAACCCAUCAUUUUAUACACUCCAAACGAUGGAGUUUCCCUCACAGUUGCCCACUCCGAUGCCGACUUUAACAUCCUCUCCAGCGACGGGGUCUAUGAUGCUGCUGAGUUGCAUCCUCUCAAACCUGACCUCGUAACUUCAGAUGUUUCGGCAUCAGCUAUAGCUGUGCAAGUAACCCUGUUCCCAAAUAAGGGGUUCUGCAUAGGAAUCACAGCUCACCAUGCAGUUCUUGAUGGCCAAACCACAACCAUGUUCAUCAAAUCUUGGGCUCAUAUAUGCAAGCAAGGCAACGACGAGAACUCACCCUUGCCACCUGAGCUAACACCAUUUUUCGACAGGUCUGUUAUCAAAGGUCCUGAUGGACUUGACAUGUUAUAUUUGAACCAGUGGCUAGCUAGUAGCGGGUUAGAUUCAGAUACAAGUAAGAAAAGCCUGAAAAUCACAAGUGCAGGAGGAGGAGCAGCAUCAGAUCUAGUUCGAGCAACGUUUGAGAUUACUCGUGAAGAUUUCAAAAAGUUAAGGGAAAGGGUGUUACCUAAACUACCAGAUAGUGGGAAAGAAAUGCAUCUAUCAACUUUUGUGCUUUCGUUUGCUUAUGUAACAACUUGCAUGGUGAAAGCUAGAGGAGGAGAUGGAGAUAGAAAAGUUGCUUUCGCAUUCACAGCUGAUUGCAGGCCACGAUUAAACCCUCCUGUCUCACAAAAC